rnacentral:ribozyme from 1 species
UGCCCAGCAACUCCUAUCCCUACCCUCUCUUGGUACUGGCCGGGGUACGAGUAACCUUAGAGAAGAUCGGGUAACCAACCCCGGUAGGAACACUGGUCUAAUGCUGACAGGGAAGA